UGCAUGUAAGUUCAAUUUUUCUUUUUUAACAUGCGGAGACAUCUGUUACACUUUUGAUAAAAUACUGAUUAAUUGAUUUGUCUUCAGACUCGACUCUCUCUUCUUCCAUUUCAGUUCUAUUUCUUUCCUCUCACUAUUUUUUUUUUCUGUGCCAAAUUGAUGCAUUCUUUUGCUCCAAAGUAGUCCUCCUUCAAUGUUGGCGGAAUCUUUGAAUGGGUUAGGUUUUUCCUUUUCUCAUCAGUUUGUUUUUCUGAAAAUUUUAUGCCUCUUUUAUACUGAAACAAUUGGAUCGGGUAAUUUAGUUUAAGGUGCUUCUUCAAUUGCUGAUUCGGGAAAUAUUAUAUCCAUUAUUUGCACAUUAUUUUUCAUGACCUCUUAUUGUUUGAAGUUUCUUGAAUUUUGUAUUUUUCCAUGAGAUUUGGGAUUGUGACAUGACUAUUCAAAGUUACUGCAUGUGAGUAUUUCGCCAAUUUUUUGCUUAUUUUCAAGUAUUUGGAAUUGAAAAGCGAAGAGGAGAUCGUUUUCGACGGCAACGAUUUCACGGCUAGAAAUUUCCGUUAAAUUUCUAGAAAGUUCUUGAAGAAGAAAAAAUUCCGUCGCAUAUGCAGAUCUAGAUCGGCAGAUCGAACAAUUGAUGGAGUGUAAGCCGUUAACGGAAGGGGAUGUGAAAAUUCUAUGUGAUCAAGUGAGGGCUAUACUUGUGGAGGAAUGGAAUGUUCAGCCGGUUAAAUGUCCGGUGACAGACAGCAUGGACAAUUUUAUGACCUGAUUGAGCUUUUUCGGAUUGGCGGCAAUGCUCCUGAUACUAAUUAUCUCUUUAUGGGUGAUUAUGUUGGUUUUGAUGGGGUUGGUUUGAUUAGAAAGGCUACACCAGGGAAAGCAGAAGAAAGCACUGUACAAGCCCGACUUCUGGUAUUUUACAUCAAGAAAUUAUGUUCUGAUGAGACGUAUAAGUAUGAAAUAAAAGACAUACUAGACAUGGAGAUGAAAGUUUUGGAAGCCCUAAACUAUAACUAGACAUGGAGAUGAAAGUUUUAGAAGCCCUAAACUAUAACUUAGUCAUAUAUCUUCCAUAUCGUUCAUUAUCACGGUUCCUUCAGGACGCCGGCGUGACUGAUGCUACUCAAUUGACUUGGGGACUUAUAAAUGACACCUAUAAGAUGGACCUGAUUCUCAUAUGCCCACCAUAUUUGAUUACUUUAGCCUGCAUGUAUAUUGCAAGCGUACUGAAAGAUAAAGAAACUGUUGCCUGGUUUGAGGAGCUUCGAGUUGAUAUGAAUGUGACUCAACCACCAAGAAGUCUACUGGCAAAGUAAACGUUGAACAAUGUGUUGAUAUUCACAUUUGCAACAAGUAUGAUGAGAAGCAUAGCAACACCUACCAGUUUAGAUAGUUGUUCGAAGAGCACCAGUUUUAUGCAGAGCCAUAUUACACGCAUGUUUUAUUAAGGAAAAAUUAUAUAAAAAGAACAACUUUAGUUAUUAAAUUACUAAAAAUCCCUUCAAUUUAAAUAAAUUGCAAAUAUCCCAACUUUUUAAUUUUGGGGUUAUAAGUUCAGAUACAUGUUAGUAGUAUCUUUUUAUCUGAUACUUACCUUUAUCAAAUUGCGUCUUUCUUCCUAUUUCAAAGGCAAAUUUUGUGUGGUGAUUUUUCACAAUUUUCUCAUCUUCAAUAUUUUAGAAUUAAGGUAUUUACCUCCCCCAAAGUCAUCUUCACUCUAUCCUUUCAGUUUCAGCAUUUUUUUUUUUUUCAAAAAAUAAGUUGAACAACAUCUCUAUUUUUGUUAACAUUAUCGAGUAAAGACUUAUAAUUUAAAAUUUUCAAGUCUAUUUCUAUUGAAUUUAAAGUUGAUUCAUGUUCAUCUUUUAGUUUUGGAAUCUCUCAAAUUGAUAACAUCGAAUAAUAUGUAGAUGUUGUUUCUUUUGUCCUUAGAGUUUUUGAUAAAGAUUUUGAUGAUUUUUGUGAAAAUAAACUCAAUCACCGAAAUAAUUUUCCUAUGAUAAAAAAAUUGCGUGAAAAGCAUGCAAAAGGGGCUAAGAAAAAAGGAGUCGGUGAUUUUAUGAAAAAAGGAUCUACGAGUUUAGGAGGUGUAGUUCAUGCCAAAAGAGGAAGAGUUGUUGAAGUUGCCAUCAGAGAUGUUCUUCCAAAGGGAUUGUGGAUUUUUUGUAGCUUUGUUUGCUGAGUACCUGAGCAAAGGGGUAGACAUAACAUCUUCUGGUGUCGUGUUUGAUAUUUGCAUUUCUGUUAUGAAAGUAUGGAAUCGAUAAGGCGGAUAACAAUUACUUAAGUGACAAUGACGACCCACUGAGGCCUAAACUAACCUUUAUGCCACCAAUUUCAAAAAAAGACGUAGUUACUAUCGGGUAGCUCUAGUUGUCACUGUUAUGAAUUUUCUAAACACAAUUCUAUUUUCAAUAGUUUUUAAAUUUUAAUUUGUAAAUUGUUUUGUGUUGAACUAAACUAGUCGUGUUUUGUUUGGAUAUUUUGUUUUACUAAGAAGUUAUUCAACUCUUUCUUUUGGUUA